AUGCCAAAAGAUGCCCACCCUAUGGAUACAAUAACUCCAUUGAAGCCUGAAGUCAAUGCUCUCCAAGGAACAGAAAUCACUCUCUCCUGCAAAUACAAGGGCAACAUCAUCAAUCUAUUAUGGUACCGUCAAUACCCCGGAUCCAGACCAGAAUAUCUACUUUUGAUCCAAUUGCAUUUUGAAGGAUGGUUAAAGACACAUAAUGAAUUGACCGACACUCGAAUGUCUGUUAAACUAAAUGAAGAUAAGACCCAUGUGGAUCUGGAGAUCACCUCUGCUGAGGUGACAGACUCUGCUCUGUACUACUGUGCCCUGCAGCCGACAGUGACAGGAAACCCAUAAAAACUGUAGAAAGAAAGCCAUAACAGAGAACAUUUCAUGUUGGUGUCAAGAGGAGGGGCUGUAUAAUCAAAGACCCACAUGUACUUUAUGGGAUGUUAUUGUUCAGGAAGUAGCUAGUUAGUCAUGUCUCUCAGUGCUGUCUAUUAGUUUCUCAAAGGUCUAGCAAGAUGUUUUUCUUCUCAUUUGUUCUCUUUUUAUCUUUCUUAGGCAAGUUAUUAUACGGAUUAAAAUCUUUUAAUUUAAUCUUAUUGUGAAAGAACAGCAUAAUAAUCAUAAUAAUUCCACAUUCAUAAUUUUUUUACGUCAGUUACAACUGCACAGUUACAGAAGUUAUUUGACCAAAUCUUUUUGCAGGAAACAGUUUUGCGGAUUCAAUAAACCCUGUGACUACAGAAGAGCUUGUUCAGGAGUUUCCAUUGACAAAGUGGACAAACGUGGGGAUCUGAAGAUCUCUUCUGCUGAUAUGACAGACUCUGCUCUGGACUACCAUGCCAUGAAGACCACAGUGACAGGAAACUGUGACACUGUACAAAAACCUGUCAAGAACCAUGGGAGGAAACAGACAUCCUAUAUGACAUCCUUAAGUAGCAAACCUACUGUAUGUUAAGCUAAGUGACAUAUAUUCUUUGUCUGUCCUCCUCCUAUAGACUGCCCUCCAAGGUUAUGACGUCCAGUGACAAGGUUUUUCUAUGUAUAAUAAUGAUACAAUAGUUUCAUCAAGUGAUCAACAUUCUGCCCAACAAGGUGAAACCUUGAGAUUGCUUGUUUUUUCAAGGGCAAGUUACUAGUGAGAGUCAAUAGGUGUCAGUGGAGUCUCAUAGUUUGUUUCUAUUCCUUUAAGGUAGAGAUACACAUGUUUGCAUGGGCUGAGUCUCAAACCACCGCAUCAGCCUAUGGCGGUCUUCUGCCUCUGCGGUGGAAGGUGGCCGAGCUUCAGGGGUGUUUGUCAGACCAUGAGACAUCCUGAAAAUUGAUAUUCUCACAAAUAUGUCUGUAGCGUCCGAACCGUUUUGCCUAAAAAAUUUAUGUGACCACUCUACGGAAAGAGAGACUCUCGCUGUCGAUGUGCCAACUUCUGUUCGUAGUGUACAAUUUGGGCUAUCAAAUCAUCUUGUUAUUUUUUUUUACCUAAAGGGUCCUAAAAUUCCAAAUCAGAUAGCUUAAUGAUCCAUGGUAUGACCCACCACCAAAGUUAAAUGAUGCACGCGGCAUGCCUUUGCAGGUUUCGGUGUGGUAUCAUUGCCCCCAACAAUUCAACUUAACAAUUGAAUAUACAUUUAGCUCCUUCCCUACUGCAGAGCCCCACAAUAAUGAGACUUCUCAACUACAGUGGAUGGAACAUGAAGUCUAUAACAUAUAUUCUUCCUCGAUACAUACAGUUGAAGUCGGAAGUUUACAUACACCUUAGCCAAAUACAUUUAAACUCAGUUUUUCACAA